UACAGAGGGUGCAAGCGUUAAUCGGAAUUACUGGGCGUAAAGGGUGUGUAGGUGGUUGUACAAGUUUGAUGUGAAAGCCCCGGGCUUAACCUGGGAACGGCGUUGAAGACUGUAUAACUAGAGUUGGACAGAGGGUAGUGGAAUUUCCGGUGUAGCGGUGAAAUGCGUAGAGAUCGGAAAGAACAUCGGUGGCGAAGGCGGCUACCUGGGUCCAAACUGACACUGAGGCGCGAAAGCGUGGGGAGCGAACAGG
rnacentral:rRNA from 1 species